GGAAUAUGGCUCAGUUGGUAGAGUGCUUGCCUUGCAUGCAAAAGGUUCUGGGUUCAAUCUCUAGUACCA
rnacentral:tRNA from 1 species